rnacentral:rRNA from 1 species
AGAGUUUUGAUNCNUGGCUCAGGAUGAACGCUAGCGGCAGGGCUUUAACACAUGCAAGUCGANGGGGUAGGAGAAGCCUUGCUUUUCUGAGACCGGCGCACGGGUGCGUAACGCGUAUGCAAUCUACCUUUCACAAAGGGAUAGCCCAGAGAAAUUUGGAUUAAUACCUUAUAGUAAUACGACUUGGCAUCAAGAUGUAUUUAAAGAUUUAUCGGUGAAAGAUGAGCAUGCGUCCCAUUAGCUAGUUGGUAUGGUAACGGCAUACCAAGGCUACGAUGGGUAGGGGUCCUGAGAGGGAGAUCCCCCACACUGGUACUGAGACACGGACCAGACUCCUACGGGAGGCAGCAGUGAGGAAUAUUGGACAAUGGGCGCAAGCCUGAUCCAGCCAUGCCGCGUGCAGGAUGACGGUCCUAUGGAUUGUAAACUGCUUUUAUACAGGAAGAAACACCUCUACGUGUAGAGACUUGACGGUACUGUAAGAAUAAGGAUCGGCUAACUCCGUGCCAGCAGCCGCGGUAAUACGGAGGAUCCAAGCGUUAUCCGGAAUCAUUGGGUUUAAAGGGUCCGUAGGCGGCCAGGUAAGUCAGUGGUGAAAGCCCAUCGCUCAACGGUGGAACGGCCAUUGAUACUGCCUGGCUUGAAUUACAAGGAAGUAACUAGAAUAUGUAGUGUAGCGGUGAAAUGCUUAGAGAUUACAUGGAAUACCAAUUGCGAAGGCAGGUUACUACUUGUGGAUUGACGCUGAUGGACGAAAGCGUGGGUAGCGAACAGGAUUAGAUACCCUGGUAGUCCACGCCGUAAACGAUGGAUACUAGCUGUUGGGAGUGAUCUCAGUGGCUAAGCGAAAGUGAUAAGUUCCCCCCUGGA